GUGUGUUCCAGGUAAAUCCGGUUCACUUUAACACUGAGGCGUGACGACGAGGCACUACGGUGCUGAAGCAACAAAUGCCCUGCUUCCAGGAAAAGCCUCUAAGCAUCAGGUAACAUCAAAUCGUACCCCAAACCGACACAGGUGGUCAGGUAGAGAAUACCAAGGCGCUUGAGAGAACUCGGGUGAAGGAACUAGGCAAAAUGGUGCCGUAACUUCGGGAGAAGGCACGCUGACACGUAGGUGAAGUGAUUUACUCAUGGAGCUGAAGUCAGUCGAAGAUACCAGCUGGCUGCAACUGUUUAUUAAAAACACAGCACUGUGCAAACACGAAAGUGGACGUAUACGGUGUGACGCCUGCCCGGUGCCGGAAGGUUAAUUGAUGGGGUCAGCGCAAGCGAAGCUCCUGAUCGAAGCCCCGGUAAACGGCGGCCGUAACUAUAACGGUCCUAAGGUAGCGAAAUUCCUUGUCGGGUAAGUUCCGACCUGCACGAAUGGCGUAAUGAUGGCCAGGCUGUCUCCACCCGAGACUCAGUGAAAUUGAACUCGCUGUGAAGAUGCAGUGUACCCGCGGCAAGACGGAAAGACCCCGUGAACCUUUACUAUAGCUUGACACUGAACAUUGAGCCUUGAUGUGUAGGAUAGGUGGGAGGCUUUGAAGUGUGGACGCCAGUCUGCAUGGAGCCGACCUUGAAAUACCACCCUUUAAUGUUUGAUGUUCUAACGUGGACCCGUUACCCGGGUUGCGGACAGUGUCUGGUGGGUAGUUUGACUGGGGCGGUCUCCUCCUAAAGAGUAACGGAGGAGCACGAAGGUUGGCUAAUCCUGGUCGGACAUCAGGAGGUUAGUGCAAUGGCAUAAGCCAGCUUGACUGCGAGCGUGACGGCGCGAGCAGGUGCGAAAGCAGGUCAUAGUGAUCCGGUGGUUCUGAAUGGAAGGGCCAUCGCUCAACGGAUAAAAGGUACUCCGGGGAUAACAGGCUGAUACCGCCCAAGAGUUCAUAUCGACGGCGGUGUUUGGCACCUCGAUGUCGGCUCAUCACAUCCUGGGGCUGAAGUAGGUCCCAAGGGUAUGGCUGUUCGCCAUUUAAAGUGGUACGCGAGCUGGGUUUAGAACGUCGUGAGACAGUUCGGUCCCUAUCUGCCGUGGGCGCUGGAGAACUGAGGGGGGCUGCUCCUAGUACGAGAGGACCGGAGUGGACGCAUCACUGGUGUUCGGGUUGUCAUGCCAAUGGCACUGCCCGGUAGCUAAAUGCGGAAGAGAUAAGUGCUGAAAGCAUCUAAGCACGAAACUUGCCCCGAGAUGAGUUCUCCCUGAGACUUAAAGUCUCCUGAAGGAACGU
rnacentral:rRNA from 1 species